CAGGACUACUAACAUUCUCACAAUCCCACAUCAAUGGUAGCCAACUAACUCAAUGGCAGAGGAAGACAUUGGCUUUGUUGUACUGGCGAUUUUGGCAUUCGUUGUGAUUGUCAUGCUGAUUCUGCUCUCCUGUUAUGCAUGUGUAUUUCGGCAAUUAUUCUGUCAGAAUGUGCUGGCCAGUGAAGAGUAUAAGAGAAGAAGGGCUGACUCAGCUGUGCCAGACGAGUUUCAAAUGGCUGACACCACACAGAACGUGGAAAUCAGUGCUGAAACUUGUGUCGACACUGAUACUCACUGAAAAUAGCAUCUCAAAUCUUUUUCCAGAUAAUUCCAUGGGCAGAAUUUAGUCGUAGAGUAUUAUCGGAGCUCAUGGAAGAAUAUGAUGCACAAUGCAGCUGAACAACUCCAGAAGUGGUCUUAAAAUAUUACAACACAGCUUCUCAGUGUAUCCUUAUCAUCAAUGUUAAUAACAAUAAUGAACUAUUUAUCUCAUGUUGGGUGAAUUAGAAAAAAAUGAGAAUUUUGCAAAAACAAUACAAUAAAAUAUUUUUUACUAUCUGGACAAUGAUUAAUCAUGACUGUAUCCACUGUGUAUAAUACUAAUUACUGAAUCUGUAUUUUCAAACAAUUUUCGACUUUCAUUGUGUAAAUAAUAAUACAUUAAACUAAAAGAAAUUAACAUAACUAAUUCUGUAAUGUUUGUUGAUCGAUUUGUAUUACAUGAACUAACUGAAAUUCAUGCUUGGUUGUAGGUAAGCUGAAAGCUAUUCAUUACUAAGGCAUUCUAACCUUGACGAAAUUAAAAAUUUAUUUGUUCAGUAAGGAUGAUAAAAUACUGUGACCGAAGUUUUUUGGUUGCAACUGAAACAUUUUUCAGUAUACUUUCGUCCUUGAACAUCAAUGUGAGUGAAUCUUUUUAUAAUAUUUGUUACCCUUCAUAAUGUUAUUUGAUUAUUUAUUAUUCAUGAUUUUGUAAGAAUGUGAAUUAAAAUUAUCGAUUUCA